UAGCCACAGGUCAAUGACGCGCCAGAUACGUGCGUCAUCCGCCAGACACUCCCCCGAAGCCAGCGAGGAUGGCUGCGCGCGCGUUUGUGCGCUCGUGCGCGGUGACCCGUCUGUCUCCUUUUUUUUUUUUUUUUUCUUUUUUAACUGUAACCUGGUUUAUUGGGCUCUCGGCGUAUUCUUGCGUUCCUUCUGCACUGGGACAAGACACCACUGCACUAUUGGACUACGGCAAGCUGGUGCCGUCCGGCGGAGCUUCAUACAGGAACUACUGCCUUACCUGCUGGUGUCACAACGUUGGAUGAACGCACAAAAAGCGCGGAACGAGCUUUUAUAUAGAGCAAAAUAAAUAUUUCCUCAUUGCACAAAA